rnacentral:rRNA from 1 species
UACGGGGGGGUAAGCGUUGUUCGGAAUCACGUUGGGCUUAAAGCGUGUGUAGGCGGAUGCCUAAGUGACCAUUGUCGAAAUCCCGAACGGCUCACCCGUGGAACUGGCUUGGUAUACUGGGUGUCUUGAGCCACUUAGGGGCUACCGGAACAAAUGGUGGAGCGGUGAAAUGCGUAGAUAUCAUUGGAACGCCAACGGUGAAAACAGGUAGCUGGG